rnacentral:snoRNA from 1 species
AUGAAAUGAUAAAGAACAAUUGGUCCGUGUUUCUGAAAACCAUGUGAUGAUGUCCAAUAAAACACUCAAUGCUUCUGAUUCU